rnacentral:rRNA from 1 species
CCUACGGGAGGCAGCAGUCGAGAAUCAUUCACAAUGGGGGAAACCCUGAUGGUGCGACGCCGCGUGGGGGAAUGAAGGUCUUCGGAUUGUAAACCCCUGUCAUGUGGGAGCAAAUUAAAAAGAUAGUACCACAAGAGGAAGAGACGGCUAACGCUGUGCCAGCAGCCGCGGUAAUACAGAGGUCUCAAGCGUUGGUAGGAAUCACUGGGCGUAAAGGGUGCGUAGGCUGUUUCGUAAGUCGUGUGUGAAUGGCGCGGGCUCAACCCGCGGACGGCACAUGAUACUGCGAGACUAGAGUAAUGGAGGGGGAACCGGAAUGCUCGGUGUAGCAGUGAAAUGCGUAGAUAUCGAGAGGAACACUCGUGGCGAAGGCGGGUUCCUGGACAUUAACUGACGCUGAGGCACGAAGGCCAGGGGAGCGAAAGGGAUUAGAUACCCUGGUAGUC